rnacentral:piRNA from 1 species
UAAACCAGGACACUUCCCAAAAGGGUGCUGCU